UUUGCAUUUGUGACCUGUUUGCUCGCCUAUUUCUAACCAUUUUUGUUCUUUUGACCUUUCUCAUCUUCACUUUCUUAUUGGAUUUCGAUAACAGUGAGUUGACUAUUAAGAACAGAAAUAGCGAAGUAUUUUGGGAAUUUAGGAAACCAAGAGGAAAGCAUAUCUAUCACAACCACAUACCCAGCUAUGAUUUAAAUUUCAAAAAAAAAGGGGGGGGGCAAUAAUGAGACCUUUAAACUUGCAAUAAACAAAGCUGUUAGUGAGGAGCAUUUAGAAGUCCAAUACCAAAAUACAUAAUUUGUCAAAAUCUAAUUUUGUUGAACCAC
rnacentral:lncRNA from 1 species